AGGCCUGAGCUUAGCGAGCAGAGA
rnacentral:siRNA from 1 species